UACAGAGGGUGCGAGCGUUGUUCGGAAUUAUUGGGCGUAAAGGGCGCGUAGGCGGCGCAGCAAGUCACCUGUGAAAUCUCCGGGCUUAACUCGGAGCCUGCAGGCGAAACUGCUGUGCUGGAGUAUGGGAGAGGUGCGUGGAAUUCCCGGUGUAGCGGUGAAAUGCGUAGAUAUCUGGAGGAACACCGGUGGCGAAGGCGGCAUCCUGGACCGGCAUUGACGCUGAGGCGCGAAAGCUAGGGGAGCAAACGGG
rnacentral:rRNA from 1 species